UACGUAGGGACCGAGCGUUGUCCGGAAUUAUUGGGCGUAAAGAGCUCGUAGGCGGUCUGUCGCGUCUGCUGUGAAAACUCAGGGCUUAACCCUGAGCUUGCAGUGGGUACGGGCAGACUAGAGUGCGGUAGGGGAGACUGGAAUUCCUGGUGUAGCGGUGAAAUGCGCAGAUAUCAGGAGGAACACCGGUGGCGAAGGCGGGUCUCUGGGCCGUAACUGACGCUGAGGAGCGAAAGCAUGGGGAGCGAACAGG
rnacentral:rRNA from 1 species